rnacentral:rRNA from 1 species
GACGAACGCUGGCGGCGUGCUUAACACAUGCAAGUCGAACGGAAAGGCCCCUUUGGGGGUACUCGAGUGGCGGACGGGUGAGUAACACGUGAGUAACCUGCCCUUGACUUCGGGAUAACUUCAGGAAACUGGGGCUAAUACCGGAUAGGAAUCAUUGCUGCAUGGGGGGGGUUGGAAAGCUUCGGAGGUUCUGGAUGGACUGGCAGGUUAUCAGCUUGUUGGGGGGGUAGUGGCUUACCAAGGCUUUGACGGGUAGCCGGCCUGAGAGGGCGACCGGCCACAUUGGGACUGAGAGACGGCCCAGACUCCUACGGGAGGCAGCAGGGGGGAAGAUUGCACAAUGGGCGGAAGGCUGAUGCAGCAACGCCGCGUGCGGGAUGACGGCCUUCGUGUUGUAAACCGCUUUCAGCAGGGGCGAAGCUUGUGGUGACGGUACCUGCAGAAGAAGCACCGGCUAACUACGUG